CACAGGGGGGGCAAGCGUUGUUCGGAAUUACUGGGCGUAAAGGGUCUGUAGGUGGCCAACUAAGUCAGACGUGAAAUCCCUCAGCUUAACUGGGGAACUGCGUCUGAUACUGGAUGGCUUGAGUGUGGGAGAGGAAUGCGGAAUUCCAGGUGUAGCGGUGAAAUGCGUAGAUAUCUGGAGGAACACCGGUGGCGAAGGCGGCAUUCUGGACCAUAACUGACACUGAGAGACGAAAGCCAGGGGAGCAAACGGG
rnacentral:rRNA from 1 species